GAAAUGUCAUGGAAGCUUCUACUCGAACAAGGUGCUUUGCUUAAGGGAGACUAUUGCGAGUAAGAGAGGUCCUAGUCAAGAGCGAUGAGGUUUGGGAUAUUGGGAUCUUCACCUUGCUAUGUAUGAGUCUUAUCGGCCUAUUGAUACCUUAUCGGCGCCGAGUUAAGGAGGUUCAUGUUGAUGCAUCCAAGGUCACGCGCGAAGUUGAACACAAUUAUAAAGAUCAUGCUUGAAGAUUGAUGUGUCCUAAC
rnacentral:lncRNA from 1 species